CCAUUAACAUCUGAUAUUUUUAUUAUCUAGAGCUCUGUAAAAAAAAUAUAAAAAAAAAUAUAAAAAAAGAAAAUACCAAAAAAUAAUAUAUGAAAACAAAAUCGUUUGUAAACAGAGUUCUAGAUAAUAAACAUUGAGGGUGGUGUAAAAGGUGGGAUUAUUGCAAUAUUUUUUAUGACCCCCACCUUAAAGUCUUCUUAUGUUAUCAUGUUUAAAACAAACAAAAAUUGGAAUGGCAAUUUAAAAAGUAUAGUUCCUAUAUGUGUAGGGACAGUGCCACUCUGCACGUUAAAGAACCCUUGCCACAAGUCUUUGAGGGGUCAGUAGGUGGCCUGUUGCAAGGCUUAAUUUCUGUCCAACAUAUCCUCCUCUCAGUUGGCAGUCAAAAUUUCCCUUACCUUCGUCAUGGGCCCACUUUAUAGAACCUACAAAUUGAUUUGUUAUGAAAAGAAGAGAUGCGAGACAACUAUCCUACAGAGACCAAAUGAAGUUGCAUGUUACUGUAUGGACUUCAACAAUGAGAAAAUCAACUAACAUUAAAAUUUUGCAAUAUUCUGAAUUGGAAUGACUUUGUUAAUACCUCUAACCUUUAACAUCUGAUAUUUUUAGUAUCUAGAGCUCUGUAAAAAAAAAUUAAAAAAAAUAUAAAAAAUGAAAAUACUAUAAAAUAAUAUGAAAACAAAAUCGUUUGUAAACAGAGUUCUAGAUAAUAAACAUUGAGGGUGGUGUAAAAGGUGGGAUUAUUGUAAUAUUUUUUAUGACCCCCACUUUAAAGUCUUCUAAAGUUAUCAUGUUUAAAACAAACAAAAAUUGGAAUGGCAAUUUAAAAAGUAUAGUUCCUAUGUGUAGGGACAGUGCCACUCUGCACGUUAAAGAACCCUUGCCACAACUCUUUGAGGGGUCAGUAGGUGGCCUGUUGCAAGGCUUUAUUUCUGUCCAACAUAUCCUCCUCUCAGUUGGCAGUCAAAAUUUCCCUUACCUUCGUCAUGGGCCCACUUUAUAGAACCUACAAAUUGAUUUGUUAUGAAAAGAAGAGAUGGAGACAACUAUCCUACAGAGACAAAAUGAAAUUGCAUGUUACUGUAUGGACUUCAACAAUGAGAAAAUCAACUAACAUUAAAAUUUUGCAAUAUUCUGAAUUAGAAUGACUUUGUUAAUACCUCUAACCUUUAACAUCUGAUAUUUUUAGUAUCUAGAGCUCUGUAAAAAAAAUAAUAAAAAAAAAUAUAAAAAAUGAAAAUACUAUAAAAUAAUAUGAAAACAAAAUCGUUUGUAAACAGAGUUCUAGAUAAUAAACAUUGAGGGUGGUGUAAAAGGUGGGAUUAUUGUAAUAUUUUUUAUGACCCCCACCUUAAAGUCUUCUUAUGUUAUCAUGUUUAAAACAAACAAAAAAUUGGAAUGGCAAUUUAAAAAGUAUAGUUCCUAUAUGUGUAGGGACAGUGCCACUAUGUACGUUAAAGAACCCUUGCCACAAGUCUUUGAGGGGUCAGUAGGUGGCCUGUUGCAAGGCUUAAUUUCUGUCCAACAUAUCCUCCUCUCAGUUGGCAGUCAAAAACAAUGAGAAAAUCAACUAACAUUAAAAUUUUGCAAUAUUCUGAAUUAGAAUGACUUUGUUAAUACCUCUAACCUUUAACAUCUGAUAUUUUUAUUAUCUAGAGCUCUGUAAAAAAAAUAUAAAAAAAAAUAUAAAAAAAGAAAAUACCAAAAAAUAAUAUAUGAAAACAAAAUCGUUUGUAAACAGAGUUCUAGAUAAUAAACAUUGAGGGUGGUGUAAAAGGUGGGAUUAUUGUAAUAUUUUUUAUGACCCCCACUUUAAAGUGUUCUAAAGUUAUCAUGUUUAAAACAAACAAAAAUUGGAAUGGCAAUUUAAAAAGUAUAGUUCCUAUGUGUAGGGACAGUGCCACUCUGCACGUUAAAGAACCCUUGCCACAAGUUUUUGAGGGGUCAGUAGGUGGCCUGUUGCAAGGCUUAAUUUCUGUCCAACAUAUCCUCCUCUCAGUUGGCAGUCAAAAUUUCCCUUACCUUCGUCAUGGGCCCACUUUAUAGAACCUACAAAUUGAUUUGUUAUGAAAAGAAGAGAUGUGAGACAACUAUCCUACAGAGACCAAAUGAAGUUGCAUGUUACUGUAUGGACUUCAACAAUGAGAAAAUCAACUAACAUUAAAAUUUUGCAAUAUUCUGAAUUAGAAUGACUUUGUUAAUACCUCUAACCUUUAACAUCUGAUAAUUUUAGUAUAUAGAGCUCUGUAAAAAAAAAUAAAAAAAAUAUAUAAAAAAUGAAAAUACUAUAAAAUAAUAUGAAAACAAAAUCGUUUGUAAACAGAGUUCUAGAUAAUAAACAUUGAGGGUGGUGUAAAAGGUGGGAUUAUUGUAAUAUUUUUUAUGACCCCCACUUUAAAGUCUUCUAAAGUUAUCAUGUUUAAAACAAACAAAAAUUGGAAUGGCAAUUUAAAAAGUAUAGUUCCUAUGUGUAGGGACAGUGCCACUCUGCACGUUAAAGAACCCUUGCCACAAGUUUUUGAGGGGUCAGUAGGUGGCCUGUUGCAAGGCUUAAUUUCUGUCCAACAUAUCCUCCUCUCAGUUGGCAGUCAAAAUUUCCCUUACCUUCGUCAUGGGCCCACUUUAUAGAACCUACAAAUUGAUUUGUUAUGGAAAGAAGAGAUGCGAGACAACUAUCCUACAGAGACCAAAUGAAGUUGCAUGUUACUGUAUGGACUUCAACAAUGAGAAAAUCAACUAACAUUAAAAUUUUGCAAUAUUCUGAAUUAGAAUGACUUUGUUAAUACCUCUAACCUUUAACAUCUGAUAUUUUUAGUAUCUAGAGCUCUGUAAAAAAAAAUUUUAAAAAAUAUAAAAAAUGAAAAUACUAUAAAAUAAUAUGAAAACAAAAUCAUUUGUAAACAGAGUUCUAGAUAAUAAACAUUGAGGGUGGUGUAAAAGGUGGGAUUAUUGUAAUAUUUUUUAUGACCCCCACUUUAAAGUCUUCUAAAGUUAUCAUGUUUAAAACAAACAAAAAUUGGAAUUGCAAUUUAAAAAGUAUAGUUCCUAUAUGUGUAGGGACAGUGCCACUCUGCACGUUAAAGAACCCUUGCCACAACUCUUUGAGGGGUCAGUAGGUGGCCUGUUGCAAGGCUUAAUUUCUGUCCAACAUAUCCUCCUCUCAGUUGGCAGUCAAAAUUUCCCUUACCUUCGUCAUGGGCCCACUUUAUAGAACCUACAAAUUGAUUUGUUAUGGAAAGAAGAGAUGCGAGACAACUAUCCUACAGAGACCAAAUGAAGUUGCAUGUUACUGUAUGGACUUCAACAAUGAGAAAAUCAACUAACAUUAAAAUUUUGCAAUAUUCUGAAUUAGAAUGACUUUGUUAAUACCUCUAACCUUUAACAUCUGAUAUUUUUAGUAUUUAGAGCUCUGUAAAAAAAAAUAAAAAAAAAAUAUAAAAAAUGAAAAUACUAUAAAAUAAUAUGAAAACAAAAUCAUUUGUAAACAGAGUUCUAGAUAAUAAACAUUGAGGGUGGUGUAAAAGGUGGGAUUAUUGCAAUAUUUUUUAUGACCCCCACCUUAAAGUCUUCUUAUGUUAUCAUGUUUAAAACAAACAAAAAUUGGAAUGGCAAUUUAAAAAGUAUAGUUCCUAUAUAUGUAGGGACAGUGCCACUCUGCACGUUAAAGAACCCUUUCCAUAAGUCUUUGAGGGGUCAGUAGGUGGCCUGUUGCAAGGCUUAAUUUCUGCCCAACAUAUCCUCCUCUCAGUUGGCAGUCAAAAUUUCCCCUACCUUCAUCAUCGGCCCACUUUAUAGAACCUACAAAUUGAUUUGUUAUGAAAUGAAGUGAUGCAAGACAACUAUCCUACAGAGACCAAAUGAUGUUGAUGUAAAAUAGGUUACUGUAUGGACUAACAACAAAUUGAGAAAAUCAACUAACAUUAAAAUUUUGCAAUAUUCUGAAUUAGAAUGACUUUGUUAAUACCUCUAACCUUUAACAUCUGAUACUUUUAGUAUCUAGAGCUCUGUAAAAAAAAAAAUAAAAAAAAAUAUAAAAAAUGAAAAUACUAUAAAAUAAUAUGAAAACAAAAUCGUUUGUAAACAGAGUUCUAGAUAAUAAACAUUGAGGGUGGUGUAAAAGGUGGGAUUAUUGUAAUAUUUUUUAUGACCCCCACUUUAAAGUCUUCUAAAGUUAUGUUUAAAACAAACAAAAAUUGGAAUGGCAAUUUAAAAAGUAGAGUUCCUAUGUGUAGGCCCCCAAGGGUGACUGGGGAAUAGAAGUAUGGUCACCAUUGGUCUUCCUCCGACCGGCAGUAAAACCCGUGCUAAAGUGGGGCGUCCGUUUGGCUGUGCGGGAUGUACAAAUUUGCAGCCACGUCCGGUCAGAAUGGGGACGUUAAAUCCAAUGCCUCGUGUAAAGAGAGUGCCACGCUCUUUGCACGUUAAGAACCCUUGCAACAACUCUUUGAGGGGUCCGUAGGUGACCUGUUGCAAGGCUAAAUUUCUGUCCCUAUCCAAUAUACCCUCAUUUCCCGUGGCAGUCUAAAUUUCUCCGACCUUAAUCCCUUAAUCUAUUACAGAACCUACCUAUUGUAUUUAUUGUGAACUUGUUCUGGUCCUGAAUAUGCAUGAAAUAUUUGCCACUGGACGUUAAGCAACCAACAAUCAAUCAAUCCUAUGUGUAGGGACAGUGCCACUCUGCACGUUAAAGAACCCUUGCCACAACUCUUUGAGGGGUCAGUAGGUGGCCUGUUGCAAGGCUUAAUUUCUGUCCAACAUAUCCUCCUCUCAGUUGGCAGUCAAAAACAAUGAGAAAAUCAACUAACAUUAAAAUUUUGCCAGAUUCUGAAUUAGAAUGACUUUGUUAAUACCUCUAACCUUUAACAUCUGAUAUUUUUAGUAUCUAGAGCUCUGUAAAAAAAAUAUUAAAAAAAAUAUAAAAAAAGAAAAUACCAAAAAAUAAUAUAUGAAAACAAAAUUGUUUUAAACAAGAGUUCUAGAUAAUUAACAUUGAGGGUGGUGUAAAAGGUGGGAUUAUUGCAAUAUUUUUUAUGACCCCCACCUUAAAGUCUUCUUAUGUUAUCAUGUUUAAAACAAACAAAAAUUGGAAUGGCAAUUUAAAAAGUAUAGUUCCUAUAUGUGUAGGGACAGUGCCACUCUGCACGUUAAAGAACCCUUGCCAUAAGUCUUUGAGGGGUCAGUAGGUGGCCUGUUGCAAGGCUUAAUUUCUGUCCAACAUAUCCUCCUCUCAGUUGGCAGUCAAAAUUUCCCUUACCUUCGUCAUCGGCCCACUUUAUAGAACCUACAAAUUGAUUUGUUAUGAAAUGAAGAGAUGCGAGACAACUAUCCUACAGAGACCAAAUGAUGUUGAUGUAAAAUAGGUUACUGUAUGGACUUCAACAAUGAGAAAAUCAACCAACAUUAAAAUUUUGCAAUAUUCUGAAUUAGAAUGACUUUGUUAAUACCUGUAACCUUAAACAUCUGAUAUUUUUAUUAUCUAGAGCUCUGUAAAAAAAUAUAAAAAAAAAAUAUAAAAAAUGAAAAUACCAAAAAAUGAUAUGAAAACAAAAUCAUUUGUAAACAGAGUUCUAGAUAAUAAACAUUGAGGGUGGUGUAAAAGGUGGGAUUAUUGUAAUAUUUUUUAUGACCCCCACUUUAAAGUCUUCUAAAGUUAUCAUGUUUAAAACAAACAAAAAAUUGGAAUGGCAAUUUAAAAAGUAUAUAGUUCCUAUGUGUAGGGACAGUGCCACUCUGCAUAUUAAAGAACACUUGCCACAAGUCUUUGAGGGGUCAGUAGGUGGCCUGUUGCAAGGCUUAAUUUCUGGCCAACAUAUCCUCCUCUCAGUUGGCAGUCAAAAUUUCCCUUACCUUCGUCAUCGGCCCACUUUAUAGAACCUACAAAUUGAUUUGUUAUGAAAUGAAGAGAUGCGAGACAACUAUCCUACAGAGACCAAAUGAUGUUGAUGUAAAAUAGGUUACUGUAUGGACUUCAACAAAUUGAGAAAAUCAACCAACAUUAAAAUUUUGCAAUAUUCUGAAUUAGAAUGACUUUGUUAAUACCUGUAACCUUAAACAUCUGAUAUUUUUAUUAUCUAGAGCUCUGUAAAAAAAUAUAAAAAAAAAAUAUAAAAAAUGAAAAUACCAAAAAAUGAUAUGAAAACAAAACUGUUUGUAAACAGAGUUCUAGAUAAUAAACAUUGAGGGUGGUGUAAAAGGUGGGAUUAUUGUAAUAGUUUUUAUGACCCACGCCUUAAAGUCUUCUAAAGUUAUCAUUUUUAAAACAAACAAAAAAUUGGAAUGGCAAUUUAAAAAGUAUAUAGUUCCUAUGUGUAGGGACAGUGCCACUCUGCAUGUUAAAGAACCCUUGCCACAAGUCUUUGAGGGGUCAGUAGGUGGCCUGUUGCAAGGCUUAAUUUCUGGCCAACAUAUCCUCCUCUCAGUUGGCAGUCAAAAUUUCCCUUACCUUCGUCAUCGGCCCACUUUAUAGAACCUACAAAUUGAUUUGUUAUGAAAAGAAGAGAUGCGAGACAACUAUCCUACAGAGACCAAAUGAAGUUGCAUGUUACUGUAUGGACUUCAACAAUGAGAAAAUCAACUAACAUUAAAAUUUUGCAAUAUUCUGAAUUAGAAUGACUUUGUUAAUACCUGUAACCUUAAACAUCUGAUAUUUUUAUUAUCUAGAGCUCUGUAAAAAAAUAUAAAAAAAAAAUAUAAAAAAUGAAAAUACCAAAAAAUGAUAUGAAAACAAAACUGUUUGUAAACAGAGUUCUAGAUAAUAAACAUUGAGGGUGGUGUAAAAGGUGGGAUUAUUGUAUUAUUUUUUAUGACCCCCACCUUAAAGUCUUCUAAAGAUAUCACAUAUCCUCCUCUCAGUUGGCAAAGACCAAAUGAUGUUGAUGUAAAAUAGAUUACUGUAUGGACCAACAAAUUGAGAAAAUCAACUAACAUUAAAAUUUUGCAAUAUUCUGAUUUAGAAUGACUUUGCCUCUAACCUUUAAAAUCUGAUAUUUUUAUUAUUUAGAGCUCUGUAAAAAAAUAUAAAAAAAACAAAAAAUAAUAUGAAAACAAAAUCGUUUGUAAACAAGAGUUCUAGAUAAUAAACAUUGAGGAUGUUGUAUAAAGUAGGCAUAUUUAAAAUUUUGUUUAUUAUUAUGAUUAGUGCACUGUAUAAUUUGUAAAAAUGUUUAUUGUGAAGUCUUGUAAAAUUGUGAAACUUUAGAACUGUGUUUAUUUGAGAUGUCUAUAUUCAGUCUUCAAUGAUUGUCAUGGCAAUUGAGGACAAUAGAAUAUAGCUCUGUGUAGAAACUGACUUUUUUUAUAUCAAGAAAGAUCCAACAAAAGUUUUCAAUGAUAUCUAAAGAGAUGAAAGACAGAAAUACUAAAAGGUUUUCUAUGAGAUUGGUGGAUUAUGUACAGUCAGACAACUGGCACACUCAAGCUAAAAGUUGAAUAGCUAUUGAAAUAAAAUUAUGGACUUGUAUAAUAACAUUAAUGAAGACAGAUGUUUUAUAGUGAAGACAUGUUCCUACAUAAUGUUGUAUAGUGAAGACUUGUUCCUACAUAUUGUUCUAUAGUGAAGACAUGUUCAUACAUAAUGUUGUAUAGUGAAGACAUAUUCAUACAUAAUGCUGUAUAGUGAAGACAUAUUCCUACAUAAUGUUCUAUAGUGAAGACAUGUUCAUACAUAAUGUCUUAUAGUGAAGACAUGUUCCUACAUAAUGUUCUAUAGUGAAGACAUGUUCAUACAUAAUGUCUUAUAGUGAAGACAUGUUCCUACAUAAUGUUCUAUAGUGAAGACAUGUUCAUACAUAAUGUUCUAUAGUGAAGACAUGUUCAUACAUAAUGUCUUAUAGUGAAGACACGUUCCUACAUAAUGUUCUAUAGUGAAGACAUAUUCCUACAUAAUGUCUUAUAGUGAAGACGUAUUCCUACAUAAUGUUCUAUAGUGAAGACAUGUUCCUACUUAAUGUCUUAUAGUGAAGACACGUUCCUACAUAAUGUUCUAUAGAGAAGACAUGUUCCUACAUAAUGUUCUAUAGUGAAGACAGAUGUUCUAUAGCACAAACAGAUGUUCCUAAGUUGCAAUGAAGUGUUCAGAAGACAGACAGUGUUUCCUUUUGCAAUGAAAUUAUCCAGAACACAUAGUUGAUUAGAUUUCCAGUUCAUUACAUAUUCUGACGUUUUCUCAAGAAAAACACAAGAUUUCAAUGUUCAACCUGAAAGGAGAAAUUCUUAAAAUUUAUGCUGGACAUCUCAUAUCAAGGAUCCAUCACAAUAUUGAUAUUAGACUUAUGAAGAAUAUUCUGAUAAAUUAAUGAUGUACGACAAAUCGUGCUACAAGUAUCAUACCAACAGAAUUAUUUGAUGGGAGUAAAUCAUAGGAGCAGGAUCUCACCUCAUACAAGUGAGGAGGAACAAUUGAACUGAUGAACUUUGAACUGAUGAACUUGGAAACAUCUGAAAGGUAUAUACCUAAGAGAAACAGACCACCUAGAAUAAGAAAAGAGAAAGAUUAACUCACAGAGUAAAGUGUAAAAACAGACCACAUAGAAUAAGGAAAGAGAAAGAUCAACUCAUAGAGUAAAGGGUAGACGAAACUAUCAACACUUUGAAAUUAACAAGAGCAAUAAUCAACAUUGAACAGCUGCUUCAUCACCAUCUCAGAGGUUAGGUCUCUAACUGACUCAACUGAUGAACUUAUAAGCUUAACAGAUUAUCAGCAUAGUUGAUCAAUGAACACUUCAGAGACAAAAUAUUCUUGGCAAUGAAAAUAUAUGACUGAAAUUUCAUAAUUGUAUAUGGUCAGUGGGAGAGAGAGAAAGAUGUAGAAUGGUCAGAGUGAGAGAGGGAGAACACUUAUGAUUAUGAGUGGGGAGAAAUAAAGAACAAUUAUUGCAACCGGUAAAUUUGUCUUCAACCAAACUCAUGGCUUGUGUUGAUGUGUCUAACCUUAGACAUCUGAUAUUUUUAUUAUCUAGAGCUCUGUUUAAAAAAAAAAUGUAAAAAAUAAUAUGAAAACAAAAUUUAAACAGUUCUAGAUAAUAAACAUUAAGGGUGGUGUAAAAAGUGGGCAUAUUUUAAAUUUUCUUUUUUUCACCAAUGUAUUUAUGAAAUUUAAAACUUUAAAGUCAGAAUGUUUAAUUGGACGUACAAUUGUUUUGAUUUUAGAUAUUUGGAGACAAAACCUAUUCUUCUUCAUUUAUUACACUCUAAAAGUGUCAUUAAUUUGCAAUAUUCUUAUUUUGAUUGUCUUUGCUUAUACCUCUAACCUUAGACAUCCAAUAUUUUUAUUAUCUAGAGCUAUGUAAAAAAAAAAAAAAUUGUAAAUAGAGUUCUAGAUAAUAAACAUUAAGGGUGGUGUAAAAAGUGGUUAUAUUUUUUAUAUUUUGAAUUCACCCCCUCCCCAAAAUAUUUACGAAAUUAAAUACAAGAGAUAUUUAUUGGUAAAUGAUUUGUGUUGGAUAAGUUUUUUCCUUUCAUUAGUGUAUUUUAAAAAAUGUUUUUUUCAAGCUGUACAUUUUUCUUGGGUAUUGAAAAUGGCUUUGAAGUAAAUAUGUUUAAUUGAAUUUUUUUAUUAUUAGAUAUUGGAGACAAAACCUAUCUUCUCUGUAUAUUUCACCAUAACAGUGUCUUUGAUUUGCAAUGUCUUUGCUUAUACCUCUAACCUUAGACAUCCAAUAUUUUUAUUAUCUAGAGCUCUGUUAAAAAAAAAAAAAAAAAUAUUAUGAAAACAAAAUCACAGAGUUCUAGAUAAUAAACAUUAAGGGUGGUGUAAAAAGUGGGUAUAUUUUGAAAUCUUAAAUGGCCUUAAAGUUUGAAUGUUUAAAUGGAAGUAAAAUUCUUUCAAUUUUAGAUGUUUUGAGAUAAAACCUAUCAUCUCGGUAUAUAUUUAUACUGUGUAUAACAGUGUCUUAAAUUCUGCAAUAUUGUAAUUUUGAAUGUCUUUGUUAACUCUAACUUUUAACAUUUGAAUUCCAUUCAGUAUUAAAAUAAUAUGUGAUA